CAGUAGCCGCGGUAAUACGUAGGGUGCAAGCGUUAAUCGGAAUUACUGGGCGUAAAGCGUGCGCAGGCGGUUUGUUAAGACAGAUGUGAAAUCCCCGGGCUCAACCUGGGAACUGCAUUUGUGACUGGCAAGCUAGAGUGUGGCAGAGGGGGGUGGAAUUCCGCGUGUAGCAGUGAAAUGCGUAGAUAUGCGGAGGAACACCGAUGGCGAAGGCAGCCCCCUGGGCCAACACUGACGCUCAUGCACGAAAGCGUGGGGAGCAAACAGGAUUAGAUACCCCAGUAGUCCCUGUCUCUUAUAC
rnacentral:rRNA from 1 species